UACGGGGGGAGCAAGCGUUGUUCGGAUUUACUGGGCGUAAAGGGCGCGUAGGCGGUCUGUUAAGUCUGGCGUGAAAGCUCUCGGCUAAACCGGGAGAGGUCGUUGGAUACUGGCAGACUAGAGGACGGUAGAGGCGUGUGGAAUUCCGGGUGUAGUGGUGAAAUGCGUAGAGAUCCGGAGGAACACCAGUGGCGAAGGCGACUACCUGGCCUGUUCUUGACGCUGAGGCGCGAAAGCUAGGGGAGCAAACGGG
rnacentral:rRNA from 1 species